CGAACGCUGGCGGCGUGCCUAAUACAUGCAAGUCGAACGCACCUUUCGGGGUGAGUGGCGCACGGCUGAGUAACACGUGGGAAUCUGUCUUCUAGUGGGGGAUAACGUCUCGAAAGAGACGCUAAUCCCGCAUACGCUCGGUAACGAGGAAAGGCGCAAGUCGCUAGAAGAGGAGCCUGCGGCCCAUCAGGUAGUUGGAGAGGUAAUGGCUCACCAAGCCUAUGACGGGUAGCUGGUCUGUGAGGACAACCAGCCAGACUGGGACUGAGAACGGCCCAGACUCCUACGGGAGGCAGCAGUAAGGAAUUUUCGUCAAUGGGGGAAACCCUGAACGAGCAACGCCGCGUGGAGGAUGACGGUCUUCGGAUUGUAAACUCCUUUUGUGAGGGACGAUAAUGACGGUACCUCGCGAAUAAGCCCCGGCUAACUCUGUGCCAGAGCCGCGGUAAUCUGAUGGCGCGAGG
rnacentral:rRNA from 1 species